GGGAGAUCCGGUGGCGCUGCUGCACCCGUCUCCGUCUCCCCCCUCUACUGCCGAGCACGAACUCCGGCGAUCCUCCGCCGCCUCUCCGAUCUCCCGCCCGUCUCCUCCGCCCUUCAUCGAAAUGGCUGAUGAGUGUACUUCUACCCAGCUCAUUGACGGAGAUGGUGUUUUCAAUGUGUCUGGCCUUGAAUCCUUUAUGAGGUCUGUGAAGUUUGCCGAAUGUGGACUGUCCUAUGCUGUUGUCUCUAUAAUGGGGCCUCAAAGCAGUGGGAAGAGCACUCUUCUGAAUCAUCUUUUCCAUACCAACUUCAGGGAGAUGAAUGCUUAUACGGGGAGGUCCCAAACUACCAAGGGCAUUUGGUUGGCAAAAUGUGCUGAUGUUGAACCUUGUACACUUGUUAUGGACUUGGAGGGUAGCGAUGGAAGAGAGCGAGG
rnacentral:misc_RNA from 1 species